GAUUUUGUUGUCUAUGUAUUACCUGAACUCCAAGGGAACCAACUUACAUGGCGUAAUGGAUGGAGGUGUUAUUGGGGCUUAUUUUUUCAUGAUUGGAAACAAGAUGUUGCUGGUGUUGGAGCUCACAGAGAAUGGUAUUAUGAUAGUCUACUUACUUCUGAAGGUGCAUUAGAAGAUAAGUGGAUGUCCAGAUUCUUUGGCCUCAGAAAAGUGGUGAUAAAAAUCUUGAAGUAUUGUUAGCAUUUUCCUCUAAAAAUGGAAAGAGCAGAUACAAAGAAGGAAUUAUCGAUGACUACUUUGAUGGGUAGUUUUCUGAAGAAAUGAUUGUCCCAGCGUGGAGCUAGCCGUCGCCGCUAUGGUACAUGUACCCGUUGCCUCCGCUUGACGUAGUUCGCUAUGGAGAUAUACAUGGGAAAGUCGCGACGGAGAUGCCCCACUUCAAC